AAAAAAAAAAAAAAAAAAAAGUCAAAAGGGGCAUAUAACAACAAAUUAUGGUUGUAUUUUCUAAAAAAAAAAAAAAACAAUACAUGAUCAUUAUUCCAUUAGGAAAUAACUAAUAACCAUAGCUUUAUAAGAUUCUGAAGAUAAAUGAACCCCACCAAGGUCAUUCAAGACCAUCUUUCUUGAUGUUCUCUAUUGUUUAAGAAGAGUAGAGGUAAUGUUGACCUACUUCUAUAAAGAUAUUCAAUUACUCUAGAGGCUAGAUCAGCCUUAACAUCGAUAAGCUCUUUUGCAACCCUAGCCAAAUAUGCUGGGACUAAACCUGUAAGGAAGCAUCUUUAAAGGAUUGAUUUUUAUUGUUUAAAACACUAUUCUUUAGAGCAAGAAUGAUCACUACCUCUUUGAUAAUGGCCAGUAACUAUCACCACAAGUCAAGAACCACGCGUGUUGCCAUAUUCGCAAUAAAAUCAUCAUUGAACUGUCUUGAAUUCAAGCUAACGAAUAGAUCCAACUCGUUGAGAGCUUACACAGUUUUGGGCAGGAUCCAUCGUUGUGAUUGAUUGAUGAAAGGUGGCAAGAGAAAUCUUUUCAUCAAUAUUGAUCACUCUUUAAUUUUGUCACCUCACAAUAAAUAAAAACACCAACACAUGAGAACUAGUCCGGUCCUGUUUAAAAAUCUUCAAUAAAUGUUCACGGGAAUAGUUUCCUUGCUUUCCUUUUCUUUUUUCUUUUUUUUCCUAAACUCAUAUUUGCCUUCACGUGCAAUCCAAGUGUAGCAACCUUCUUUUGCAAGACCCACUGCCCCUGCUAUCCUGGCAAAUGAAGGAAGGGGGUCCCAUAUUCCAUGACCCAAUCACACAUUGCACAGGAUAAAUUACUGUUACACUGACAUAAAAAAAAAGAAAAAAAAAAAAGAGGUGAAAGUUAACGACGCAAAAGAAAGGCAAACCCCAACGAUCCAAGCGAGAAAAAAAAAAGUACCAACUCUUGCUGAUUCAAGAGUUGAUCAUUGGGUAACCUUCCCAAUAAUUUCUCCUUGUGUCUGAGAUUUCUUCACCAUAAAUUUUCUCCAGCUGAUAUCAAUUCACUUGUCUCAGGUGAUGAAAC
rnacentral:lncRNA from 1 species